rnacentral:lncRNA from 1 species
AAUGACUGCAGGUCUUUGGAAGCUCAACACUGUUAUGCUUGAACUUCUCAGUCUAGAUGGUUCUGCAGGCAGCUAAGAUAUUACUCCAGCAGCAACAGAAGAGUGGUUUGAACUCUGCAAAGAGCCACACUAAACCACGGCCCCUGCAGGGUUCAAUGACAAUGAUGAGUCCUCAGCAGAUGCAGCAGCUUCUGUCCCCGGGUCAGCUCCAGGCUCUGCUCCAGCAACAGCAGCACGCUAUCCUGCUCCAGCAGGUACAGCACGAUCCAAUCCAAAUUACCAUACUAUACUAUACUACAAAGGUCUUCAACCUUUUCUUGCCCAGGGACCACCGCCCAGGCAAUUUGGUGACCCAGGGACCCCCAUCAUAUGUUUUUUU